rnacentral:rRNA from 1 species
CCUAGGAAUCUGCCUGGUAGUGGGGGACAACGUUUCGAAAGGAACGCUAAUACCGCAUACGUCCUACGGGAGAAAGCAGGGGACCUUCGGGCCUUGCGCUAUCAGAUGAGCCUAGGUCGGAUUAGCUAGUUGGUGGGGUAAAGGCCUACCAAGGCGACGAUCCGUAACUGGUCUGAGAGGAUGAUCAGUCACACUGGAACUGAGACACGGUCCAGACUCCUACGGGAGGCAGCAGUGGGGAAUAUUGGACAAUGGGCGAAAGCCUGAUCCAGCCAUGCCGCGUGUGUGAAGAAGGUCUUCGGAUUGUAAAGCACUUUAAGUUGGGAGGAAGGGCAGUAAGUUAAUACCUUGCUGUUUUGACGUUACCAACAGAAUAAGCACCGGCUAACUUCGUGCCAGCAGCCGCGGUAAUACGAAGGGUGCAAAGCGUUAAUCGGAAUUACUGGGCGUAAAGCGCGCGUAAGUGGUUUGGUAAGAUGGAUGUGAAAU